rnacentral:rRNA from 1 species
UACGGGGGGAGCAAGCGUUGUUCGGAUUUACUGGGCGUAAAGGGCGCGUAGGCGGUCGUGACAAGUCACUUGUGAAAUCUCCGGGCUUAACUCGGAACGGUCAAGUGAUACUGUCGGACUAGAGUACAGAAGGGGCAACUGGAAUUCUCGGUGUAGCGGUGAAAUGCGUAGAUAUCGAGAGGAACACCUGCGGCGAAGGCGGGUUGCGUGGGCUGAUACUGACGCUGAGGCGCGAAAGCCAGGGGAGCGAACGGG